UGGAUCCAUGGUGACCACUGGUGGCGCAGGAGUCAUAAGCGAUGAAUAUGUGUCUGGAACUCUGAGGUCGGU